rnacentral:lncRNA from 1 species
CUCUUUCCAUAAGCUUACAAGAUAUCUCAUUACGAUAUCAAUGUAUCACAGUGGAAAAAAAUUUAAAUAUUUAUUAUUCAAAUUUAAUUCAAAUAACUAAAUCAAAUAUCUUACAUUCUAUAAAGUUUCACUAAAAAUAAAAUAAUAGAUCUAAGUUCAAUGAAGUUGACAAUACUAAAUCUCAUCUCUAAAAGCUCUGUCCCAACAUUAUUACCCACG